rnacentral:rRNA from 1 species
CGUAGGGGCAAGCGUUGUCCGGAUUUAUUGGGCGUAAAGCGCGUGUAGGCGGCCAGGUAGGUCUGGUGUGAAAACUCGAGGCUCAACCUCGAGAGGUCAUCGGAAACCAUCUGGCUAGAGUCCGGAAGAGGAGAGUGGAAUUCCCGGUGUAGCGGUGAAAUGCGCAGAUAUCGGGAAGAACACCUAUGGCGAAGGCAGCUCUCUGGGACGGUACUGACGCUGAGACGCGAAAGCGUGGGGAGCGAACAGGAUUAGAUACCCUGGUAGUCCACGCCGUAAACGAUGGGUGCUAGGUGUGGGUGGUGUCGACUCCAUCCGUGCCGAAGCUAACGCAUUAAGCACCCCGCCUGGGGAGUACGGCCGCAAGGCUA